rnacentral:rRNA from 1 species
CCUACGGGAGGCAGCAGUAAGGAAUAUUGGUCAAUGGACGCAAGUCUGAACCAGCCAUGCCGCGUGCAGGAUGACGGCCCUCUGGGUUGUAAACUGCUUUUGUACGGGAAGAAACCUCUCUACGUGUAGAGAGCUGACGGUACCGUAAGAAUAAGGACCGGCUAACUUCGUGCCAGCAGCCGCGGUAAUACGAAGGGUCCAAGCGUUAUCCGGAUUUAUUGGGUUUAAAGGGUGCGUAGGCGGCUUAUUAAGUCAGUGGUGAAAGACUUCAGCUUAACUGAAGAACUGCCAUUGAUACUGAUGAGCUUGAAUAUACUUGAGGUGGGCGGAAUGUGUCAUGUAGCGGUGAAAUGCUUAGAUAUGACACAGAACACCGAUUGCGAAGGCAGCUCGCUAAAGUAUGAUUGACGCUGAGGCACGAAAGCGUGGGGAGCAAACAGGAUUAGAUACCCUGGUAGUCCACGCCCUAAACGUUGAUAACUCGAUGUGUGCGAUAUACAGUACGCGUCCAAGCGAAAGCAUUAAGUUAUCCACCUGGGAAGUACGGUCGCAAGAUUGAAACCUCAAAUGAGUAGAGNGNGAGACGAGCGACGGACGACGACGAGGGAGGAGG